GGGAAAAUCAAGGGAAAAACGAACGACAUGACGAGAAUCUGGAUCAGUGUUAACUUCGACUUCGUACCUUCACUCGGUGACUCGGACAUUAAUGUUUUUUUAGUAAUUGAGAGUUGAAUUAACCAUUGAGCGUUUUAAUUAAUAUUGCGAGUUCCCACAUUUUUUCAAAAUGAUCGACCCAGAAGCUUUCCUGGACCUUGCCAAUCAGGUCACCAAGUUAAAGAUGUGGCCAUAUUUUGAUAUUGCCCAUUGUAUAAUGGCCUGCUUGGCUGUUAGAGAAGAUUUGGGAACUGGAUCUAUCCCAUUUUCUAGGAAACACCCGAUAGCUUGCUGGCUGUCCACCAUGAUGGUGACUUUUGCUGGAGGUUUUCUGGCUGCCCUUUUCCUUGGUGAACCACUCCUGGAACCAUUUAGAAACACACAAUCUGUUUUGCUAGCUACUGCUGUCUGGUAUGCUAUGUUCUACUCACCAUUUGACAUUAUCUACAAACUGUCAAAGUUUCUCCCUAUCAAAAUAGUGAUUGCAGCCAUGAAAGAAGUGUACAGAUGUAAAAAAGUAUAUGAUGGAGUAAAUCAUGCUGCUAAACUAUUCCCUAAUGCUUGGAUGAUUUUGUUCAUUACUGGUUUAGUUAAAGGUAAUGGUGGAAGUUUCAUCAAAAUCUUGGAGCGCCUUGUCCGGGGUGUAUGGACUCCGACUGCCUUUGAAUUCCUGCAGCCGAGUUUCCCAACUAAGGCCUGUAUAGUAGCCUCAAUCAUCUUCGUUUUGGACAAGAAAACCGAGCUGAUCUCUGCCCCCCAUGCUUUGGUCUAUUUCGGAAUCGUUAUUUUCUUUGUUUAUUUCAAGUUAUCCUCUCUUUUGCUCGGAAUUCAUGAUCCGUUCAUUCCCUUCGAGAAUCUGUGUUGCGCAGUGUUUUUCGGAGGCAUAUGGGAUUCUAUGCAGCGCGCGGUUGGCGGUGGAAGCAAAAGUACCGAUCCUAACGCCAAGAAUGAAGUCCGAGCUAGUAAGACUGAUGAUGGCCAAACGCAUGCCCAUAAGAAGAGCGAUUGAUGUAGCUUCACUAGGCGUAUUUUACUCAAAUGUUGGUUUUUAAUCUGGUAAAUUGUUGGGGACUUGAAUUAAUAUGUAAGUUAAGCAAUGUAAAUUAGUGCCUUACAGUAGUAAUGAUCGGCAUGAAAAGGUACUCCAAAAGUAUCAUGUGCAUCGUAUUUUUCAUUAUUUUUUUUUUUAUUGUUAUAAUUUUUACAGUGCACUGAUAAAUACCGCUUUAUCCUGUAGAUUUACGCAUGAACCGUUAGGUGUAUGGAUUAAUAGCUCAAUUAUAUGUUAGGCACUUGGCUACGAAAUUAGAUUAAUAUGUACGUGUUACCACAAAUUCUUCAACUGUGCACAAUUGUGAAUGCAUUUUCUGCAAGUACUGCGUUGGGUUAGAUUCGUGCAUUCUGACAAUUAACUGCCGUCUCACACUGACAAGGAUCAAAUCGAGUUGCCAAUCCGUCUUCACUGUUUUUUGGUUUCCCCCCACUUCAAAUCUGUUAAAUCAGAUUACUGGAUUGAUCCGUCUUUUAUUUAUUGUCUUGUUUAUUUACAAAUAUUUUGCACUAAUUUCUUUGUGCACUUUACAGUUUUCUUUGAAUGAUUCUAAAUUUUGUUUUCAUAUUCUUUUAUAUCUAUGCAUGAUGAUUAGGAAAAUGUUGACUUUUAUUUCAAGCUAGUCGCCCUCUAAGUUAUGGUGUACUUUAAUUAAUUUUUUUUUUAAAGUUUGGUGCGAGAGGACUGAUUAAUGUAACAUAGUCGUAUUUGAUACCUGUAAAAGUGUGAAUCAUAAAGCCUUGACCCAAUAAAGCCACAUACCUAAAA